rnacentral:rRNA from 1 species
UACAGAGGUCCCAAGCGUUGUUCGGAUUCACUGGGCGUAAAGGGUGCGUAGGCGGGUCUUUAAGUCAGGGGUGAAAUCCUGGAGCUCAACUCCAGAACUGCCUUUGAUACUGAAGAUCUUGAGUUCGGGAGAGGUGAGUGGAACUGCGAGUGUAGAGGUGAAAUUCGUAGAUAUUCGCAAGAACACCAGUGGCGAAGGCGGCUCACUGGACUGGUAUUGACGCUGAGGUGCGAAAGCGUGGGGAGCAAACAGG